rnacentral:rRNA from 1 species
CGCAUCUGUGCAUGCAGCAUAUCAAUAAGCGGAGGAAAAGAAACUAACAAGGAUUCCCUUAGUAACGGCGAGUGAAGCGGGAAGAGCUCAAAUUUGAAAUCUUCAAGGUUUUACCUUGACGAAUUGUAGUUUAGAGAAGUGUUUUCUGCUGAAGUUUUGGUAAAAGUUCUUUGGAAUAGGACAUCAUAGAGGGUGAGAAUCCCGUAUUUGACCAUUAUUUUCAGCUUUGUGAUACACUUUCAAAGAGUCGGAUUGUUUGGGAUGCAGUCCAAAAUGGGUGGUAAAUUUCAUCUAAAGCUAAAUAUUGGCGAGAGACCGAUAGCGAACAAGUACCGUGAGGGAAAGAUGAAAAGAACUUUGAAAAGAGAGUUAAACAGUACGUGAAAUUGUCAAAAGGGAAGCGUUUGACACCAGUGUUGUUUUCUCGAAAAUCAAUUAAAAAUGGCUCGAUUUUGUAUUGCUGAGACCUUAAAAGCUCACUGUACAUUUUUCGUGUCUUUUUUAAUGCACUUUUCGUUUAACAAGUCAACAUCAGUUUCUUUUGUUGUAAAAGGGUCAUUGGAAGGUGGCUUUCUUUUCGGAGAAAGUGUUUAUAGCCUUUGGCCUCUGCAAUCGAAGAGACUGAGGUCUGCAGCGUAGACUCUUCGGGGUUAGAUACAUUUGUGCUAAGUUAUAGCUUUUUAUAGACAACUUGUUGACUAUAAUUAGUCUUGUAGCUUACUCGCUUAUGCUAUUUUACCUACGCUUAGGAUGUUGACGCAUGAGAUAUACGC